CAAUGGCACUGCUGCGACGGGAACUGAAGGGUCCAGACUUUUUCCUGGUUGGGCUUUUCCCAGGAAUGAUCAAUGACUGACGUGUUGCGGUGAAGGAAUUCAUGCAUGAAGCCCUGAGAUCUGCUGCAAUGGAAUGCAUGAAACAAGAAAAUGCAAUAAUCUGAAAUGAGAUGGUCUACCUGUAAAAACAAUCUACAUUACAGGUAUGACUUAAAAACA